GACGAACGCUGGCGGCAGGCUUAACACAUGCAAGUCGAACGCAUCCUUCGGGGUGAGUGGCAGACGGGUGAGUAACGCGUGGGAACGUGCCCUUCAGUUCGGGAUAACCCAGGGAAACUUGGGCUAAUACCGGAUACGUGCGAGAGCAGAAAGAUUUAUCGCUGAAGGAUCGGCCCGCGUCUGAUUAGCUAGUUGGUGGGGUAAUGGCCCACCAAGGCGACGAUCAGUAGCUGGUCUGAGAGGAUGAUCAGCCACAUUGGGACUGAGACACGGCCCAAACUCCUACGGGAGGCAGCAGUGGGGAAUAUUGGACAAUGGGCGCAAGCCUGAUCCAGCCAUGCCGCGUGAGUGAUGAAGGCCUUCGGGUUGUAAAGCUCUUUCACACACGACGAUGAUGACGGUAGUGUGAGAAGAAGCCCCGGCUAACUUCGUGCCAGCCGCCGCGGUAA
rnacentral:rRNA from 1 species